GACGAACGCUGGCGGCGUGCCUAAUACAUGCAAGUCGAACGCUGAAGGAGGAGCUUGCUUCUCUGGAUGAGUUGCGAACGGGUGAGUAACGCGUAGGUAACCUGCCUGGCAGCGGGGGAUAACUAUUGGAAACGAUAGCUAAUACCGCAUAAGAGUAGAUGUUGCAUGACAUUUGCUUAAAAGGUGCAAUUGCAUCACUACCAGAUGGACCUGCGUUGUAUUAGCUAGUUGGUGGGGUAACGGCUUACCAAGGCGACGAUACAUAGCCGACCUGAGAGGGUGAUCGGCCACACUGGGACUGAGACACGGCCCAGACUCCUACGGGAGGCAGCAGUAGGGAAUCUUCGGCAAUGGACGGAAGUCUGACCGAGCAACGCCGCGUGAGUGAAGAAGGGUUUCGGAUCGUAAAGCUCUGUUGUAAGAGAAGAACGAGUGUGAGAGUGGAAAGUUCACACUGUGACGGUAGCUUACCAGAAAGGGACGGCUAACUACGUG
rnacentral:rRNA from 1 species